GUAACGGCCUUUGGCGGGAAAGGCGACGGGGGCGGAGCCAGAUGAUGCGGAGCUGUUGCUCCGGAAACCUGGGCGUCUUCAGCGCUUGGGCUGGGCCGGCGGAGCUGCAGGCUUGAGUACUGGGAGCUUCUAGGAAGUGACCGGAUCACCAGAGCUCUGACCUACUCAGGGUAUUAUACCUUUGGUGUGUUCAAAAGGUGACGUCAUUCCUGGGAGGUGGUGAAAGCUGUGGGAAUGGUCAGUGUGACGCAGCCCAGGUGGAGGGCGGAGGACCAUUCUCUCUCUCUGUGAUGCCUCACAAUUGUUCUACUCAUCCUUAUCAGCUGGGAGCCUUCCAGAGACGCCUGUUAGAGGGAUGUGCAUUGUUACAGUGGACACUUGGGGCUGGGGACUCUUUCAAGCACAAAAGUAGAAAACACUACUGGAAUUUCAGGCCUUGAGACAAGCAAAUGGUCGCAGAAGAUGUCUUCCUGCAGGGGUAGGUCUUACCACAUUGUGUAGAAUAUAUUCAUCAGUAGUUCUGCACCACAGCCCUUGCCAAUGUGUGUUUCAGAUAUCUUCAUGUAACCCAUAACAAAUGUUAAACUCCAAAACUCUCAGAAUAAAGAGCAAAAACAUA